AGCGAACGCUGGCGGCGUGCCUAACACAUGCAAGUCGAACGUGAAAAGGGAAACCUGAGUAAAGUGGCGUACGGGUGAGUAACGCGUAGGUAAUCUACCCCAGAAUCUGGAAUAACCUGCCGAAAGGCGGGCUAAUACUGGAUAGAGCGAGGGAACUCGUAAGAGAGUUUUUCGGGAAAGGGAGCCCGUAAGGGCCUUCGUUCUGGGAUGAGCCUGCGUCUCAUUAGCUAGUUGGUAAGGUAACGGCUUACCAAGGCGAUGAUGAGUAGCUGGUCUGAGAGGAUGAUCAGCCACACUGGAACUGAAACACGGUCCAGACUCCUACGGGAGGCAGCAGUGGGGAAUCUUGCGCAAUGGACGAAAGUCUGACGCAGCCACGCCGCGUGAGUGAAGAAGGCCUUCGGGUUGUAAAGCUCUGUCGGAUGGGACGAACAUCUUCAUAGUGAAUAGCUAUGAGGACUGACGGUACCAUCAAAGGAAGCACCGGCUAACUCCGUG
rnacentral:rRNA from 1 species